rnacentral:rRNA from 1 species
UGGGGAAUAUUGCACAAUGGGGGAAACCCUGAUGCAGCCAUGCCGCGUGUGUGAAGAAGGCCUUCGGGUUGUAAAGCACUUUCAGUGGUGAGGAAGGCUAUCGUGUUAAUAGCACGGUAGAUUGACGUUAGCCACAGAAGAAGCACCGGCUAACUCCGUGCCAGCAGCCGCGGUAAUACGGAGGGUGCAAGCGUUAAUCGGAAUUACUGGGCGUAAAGCGUACGUAGGCGGCUCAUUAAGCAAGAUGUGAAAGCCCCGGGCUCAACCUGGGAAUGGCAUUUUGAACUGGUGAGCUAGAGUUUUGAAGAGGGUGGUAGAAUUUCCAGUGUAGCGGUGAAAUGCGUAGAUAUUGGAAGGAAUACCAGUGGCGAAGGCGGCCACCUGGUCAAAAACUGACGCU